UACGAAGGGGCGUAGCGUUGCUCGGAAUGACUGGGCGGUAAAGGGACGCGUAGGCGGAUUGUACAGUCAGACGUGAAAUUCCUGGGCUCAACCUGGGGGCGUGCGUUUGAUACGUAUAGUCUUGAGUGAGGAAGAGGGUUGUGGAAUUCCCAGUGUAGAGGUGAAAUUCGUAGAUAUUGGGAAGAACACCGGUGGCGAAGGCGGCAACCUGGUCCUUUACUGACGCUGAGGCGCG
rnacentral:rRNA from 1 species